AUGCUGCCACAACACUUGAGACUGCUGCCCUCUUUUUCUGGGCGACGACGGGCUACAAGUGGGGCGGCACCGCCAACCACCUAUGCGAUUUCGCCGGCGAAGAUGCUGCUACCCCGGCGUGGCGGAGCUGCAACCGUAGUUCGGCGGAGCUACAACCUCAGCGACAAGUGCGGGAGGCAACGAGUGCGGCGACCGACAACGAGGACGGCCAGCGAGGUGCGGCAACCAGAGAGCGUGUGA
rnacentral:rRNA from 1 species